AUUGAACGCUGGCGGCAUGCCUUACACAUGCAAGUCGAACGGCAGCAUGGAAGAGCUUGCUCUUCUGAUGGCGAGUGGCGAACGGGUGAGUAAAGCAUCGGAACGUACCGUGUAGUGGGGGAUAACGUAGCGAAAGUUACGCUAAUACCGCAUACGCACUGAGGUGGAAAGCAGGGGAUCGCAAGACCUUGCGCUAUACGAGCGGCCGAUGUCAGAUUAGCUAGUUGGUAGGGUAAAGGCCUACCAAGGCGACGAUCUGCAGCGGGUCUGAGAGGAUGAUCCGCCACACUGGAACUGAGACACGGUCCAGACUCCUACGGGAGGCAGCAGUGGGGAAUUUUGGACAAUGGGGGCAACCCUGAUCCAGCCAUGCCGCGUGAGUGAAGAAGGCCUUCGGGUUGUAAAGCUCCUUCGGCCGGGAAGAAAUCGUAUGGGCUAAUACCCUGUGCGGAUGACGGUACCGGCAUAAGAAGCACCGGCUAACUACGUGCCAGCCGCCGCAGUAA
rnacentral:rRNA from 1 species